rnacentral:rRNA from 1 species
AUUGAACGCUGGCGGCAGGCCUAACACAUGCAAGUCGAGCGAGCGGCGGACGGGUGAGUAAUGUCUGGGAACCUGCCUGAUGGGGGGGGAUAACUACUGGAAACGGUAGCUAAUACCGCAUACCAUCAGAUGUGCCCAGAUGGGAUUAGCUAGUAGGUGGGGUAACGGCUCACCUGGGCGACGACCCCUAGCUGGUCUGGGAGGAUGACCGGCCACAUUGGAACUGAGACACGGUCCAGACUCCGACGGGAGGCAGCAGUGGGGAAUAUUGCACAAGGGGCGAAAGCCGGAUGCAGCCAGGCCGCGUGUAGGAAGAAGGCCUUCGGGUUGUAAAGUACUUUCAGCGGGGAGGCGUUACCCGCAGAAGAAGCACCGGCUAACUCCGUGCCAGCCGCCGCGGUAAUAC